CUCAAGCAGGGCUGCUGGGACCCAGGAGGACCACCAGAUUCAGAUACCACUGGUUCCCCAACACCUAGAAGAGCGCCUUGCACUCAGGAGAAAUCAACUGGAGGAGCCUGAAAUUUACACCAAAAGCCAUAGACUGCUGCAGAUGGUGACUAGGAUCUCUGCACCACAGCUGGACAGUGGCUCCCUGGAGCACCACUGGCCCUCCCACAUGCCAGGGAGGAGACUGCUGGGGGUGGAGGUGAUCCAAGGGCAAGGCUGGACACAGACAUCCCAGGCCCCCAGGUGCUGAUGUGAGCUGCCCAGGCGAUACCUCCUCAAGCCUCACUUGGUCGAAAUCCCUGAGGCUCAACCCAGGGCAUGGCAGUGGGAAUGGGAGCUUUCAGAAGUGGGAAGAACUGACAACAAAUCCCAGUUUCUUUCAUUUUAUCAGCAGCAGAGUCGUCCCUAAGGGUCUUUCAGUUGCAAGCAUAGAAACCCACUGUACAUUUUUUUCUGAAGUGAGAAGAAGAAGAAAAGGUAUAUAGCUCAAGAAGGAAAAAAGAAAGUUAAGUUUAUUCACAGAUGACCUGAUGACUCAUGUAGAAAAACUGAAAAAAAAUCGACAAAAAUAUUAAAACUAAUAAGUGACUAAAACUAAUAAUCUCUGCCAGGGAUGCAGAAUACAUCAGUGCAUAAAAGUCAGUUGUUUUCUUCUGUGCUACCGAUGAGCAAGUGGAAACUAAUACUGAAAACACAGCACCAUUUAAGAAAGAAGCAGGAGAGGGUAUUUAUUAUAAGAUUACAGGGCGAGUGUCUUAGGCAGAGAUCUGAGGGAGGAGGAUGGCCAGCAAGAACCUCCAGGCAGUGACCUGUCUGUCCACCAGGGCUUCUCUCAUUCUCGGGAACUGCAAUCUAGUAUGAGCCCCAACAACUCAGCUCCCCUCUGGCCUUGCGGGCAGCACUUGCGAAGCCACAACUUAAAGGAGGAGGCCGGGCAUGGUGGUGCACGCCUGUAAUCCCAGCACUCAGGAGGCUGAGGCAGGA